CUACGGAGGGUGCAAGCGUUAAUCGGAAUUACUGGGCGUAAAGCGUACGUAGGCGGUUUAUUAAGUCAGAUGUGAAAGCCCCGGGCUUAACCUGGGAACUGCAUUUGAAACUAGUAGACUAGAGUAUGGUAGAGGGGGGUAGAAUUCCUAGUGUAGCGGUGAAAUGCGUAGAUAUUAGGAGGAAUACCAGUGGCGAAGGCGGCCCCCUGGACCAAUACUUACGCUGAGGUACGAAAGCGUGGGGAGCGAACAGGAUUAGAUACCCUAGUAGUCC
rnacentral:rRNA from 1 species